rnacentral:rRNA from 1 species
AGAGUUUGAUCCUGGCUCAGAUUGAACGCUGGCGGAAUGCUUUACACAUGCAAGUCGAACGGCAGCACGGGUGCUUGCACCUGGUGGCGAGUGGCGAACGGGUGAGUAAUGCGUCGGAACGUACCGAGUAAUGGGGGAUAACGCAGCGAAAGUUGUGCUAAUACCGCAUACGCCCUGAGGGGGAAAGCGGGGGAUCGUAAGACCUCGCGUUAUUCGAGCGGCCGACGUCUGAUUAGCUAGUUGGUGGGGUAAAGGCCUACCAAGGCGACGAUCAGUAGCGGGUCUGAGAGGAUGAUCCGCCACACUGGGACUGAGACACGGCCCAGACUCCUACGGGAGGCAGCAGUGGGGAAUUUUGGACAAUGGGGGCAACCCUGAUCCAGCCAUUCCGCGUGAGUGAAGAAGGCCUUCGGGUUGUAAAGCUCUUUCAGCUGGAACGAAACGGUGGGCUCUAACAUAGCCUGCUAAUGACGGUACCAGCAGAAGAAGCACCGGCUAACUACGUGCCAGCAGCCGCGGUAAUACGUAGGGUGCGAGCGUUAAUCGGAAUUACUGGGCGUAAAGCGUGCGCAGGCGGAUUGUUAAGCAAGAUGUGAAAUCCCCGGGCCUAACCUGGGAAUGGCAUUUUGAACUGGCAGUCUAGAGUGCGUCAGAGGGGGGUGGAAUUCCACGUGUAGCAGUGAAAUGCGUAGAGAUGUGGAGGAACACCGAUGGCGAAGGCAGCCCCCUGGGAUGACACUGACGCUCAUGUACGAAAGCGUGGGUAGCAAACAGGAUUAGAUACCCUGGUAGUCCACGCCCUAAACGAUGUCAACUGGUUGUUGGGGGAGUGAAAUCCCUUAGUAACGAAGCUAACGCGUGAAGUUGACCGCCUGGGGAGUACGGUCGCAAGAUUAAAACUCAAAGGAAUUGACGG